rnacentral:rRNA from 1 species
AUUGAACGCUGGCGGCAUGCUUUACACAUGCAAGUCGAACGGUAACAGGCCGCAAGGUGCUGACGAGUGGCGAACGGGUGAGUAAUGCAUCGGAACGUGCCCAGUCGUGGGGGAUAACUACUCGAAAGAGUAGCUAAUACCGCAUACGAUCUAUGGAUGAAAGCGGGGGACCGUAAGGCCUCGCGCGAUUGGAGCGGCCGAUGUCAGAUUAGGUAGUUGGUGGGGUAAAGGCUCACCAAGCCAACGAUCUGUAGCUGGUCUGAGAGGACGACCAGCCACACUGGGACUGAGACACGGCCCAGACUCCUACGGGAGGCAGCAGUGGGGAAUUUUGGACAAUGGGCGCAAGCCUGAUCCAGCAAAGCCGCGUGCAGGAAGAAGGCCUUCGGGUUGUAAACUGCUUUUGUACGGAACGAAACGGCUCUGGUUAAUACCCGGGGCUAAUGACGGUACCGUAAGAAUAAGCACCGGCUAACUACGUG